rnacentral:rRNA from 1 species
UACGUAGGGUGCGAGCGUUAAUCGGAAUUACUGGGCGUAAAGCGUGCGCAGGCGGUUUUGUAAGCCAGAUGUGAAAUCCCCGGGCUUAACCUGGGAAUGGCAUUUGGGACUGCAAGGCUUGAGUGCGGCAGAGGAGACUGGAAUUCCUGGUGUAGCAGUGAAAUGCGUAGAUAUCAGGAGGAACACCGAUGGCGAAGGCAGGUCUCUGGGCUGACACUGACGCUCAUGCACGAAAGCGUGGGGAGCGAAACAAU